UCCUUCCUCACUGGAGAGAGGCUGCCCCGGCGGCAGCCCACCGAAGGGGCAAGGCCUGCCGAUCCGCACGCGGAACGAGGGCAGCGCCGAAUCUCUCAGGUAAAGCGGACAGCGAGGGCAGC
rnacentral:ncRNA from 2 species